AAAUACAGAUUGAAGUUGAAGACAGAUGAUGGAAAGGAAUAUGAAGAAGAGGUUCAAAUUGACACUCAGAAGGAAACAGAAACUUUCCAUGUGCCAAAGACUUCGCCUAAUAACGAAGAGGCUGACAUAGUCCUUGACUUUAAGAAGAAUUAUAUGAUGGUCCGUAUGCCAGAGGCUAAAGUAUGCUUUCUGAGUCAAUGAACUGAGAAUGCUCCAAAACCCGCUGACUUGGCCCGCCUUCUGGACAAAGACGCGGGAUCGACGACAAACCAAAAUCGACCUGAACUGAAAUUUAAGGUUCUGGGGACCCUUGAUGACAAUGCACGUGGCGAUCUGAAUGACGAAAUGGCGGAUCUGUGUGCGAAGCUACCCAUUAAAGUAGUUGUUAAGGUGGACAGGGCACCAACAGACAUAGCCUCGGACGACGCACCCUUAAAACGUAGGUGUAACAGUCGGAAUAUUGCAAGGGAAUAUAUGAAAGAUCAUUUAUCUGAACUGUGGAGAAAGAUAUGAAGACAUGAUCCAGUGAACAUCGCAGUUAUACACACAAGUUAAGAAGUUGUGAUAUUAGAGCAUGAAAAACAACAACAACAACUACAACACCAGACUUAAAUGGGAUUCGAACCCAUGACCUCUACGAUACUGGUGCAGUGUUCUAGCAAUUGAGCUAUCAAUCCAACUGGGCGCUCGUCAACUCGUGAGUUCGUAAUACUACAUAUUACACUCACAACGUGACCAGCUCCCACUGCGAUGAUCAGUCAUGUCUUCAAUUGGGAUAUUGUGCACCGAUGUACAC